ensembl:lncRNA
AAAGAUUAUAAAUAGACUUUGCUACAGCAGCGCCUGGACUGUCGGGAAGCGGGAGAACACUUCAGUCUUCACAGAGUCCCAACGUGUCCGUCUGCACCAGGCUGUGGUUCCCUGGCUCAGGAUUACCCCCCAGCACCACCACUUCUAUAACCACCAUCACCCCCACCACCACCACCACCUCCACCUCCUUCACCUCCACCUCCAGGUUACGCAAAGUAAAGCAACUCUCCCCAGACAAGCAGACGUGGAGGACAUCAGGCUUGGAAGGAGUUCUGGAAAGGCAUGAAAUGUCAGAAGCCAUCUUCUGAACUGACACUGAUGAAGGCGCCGGGUCUGAGACGGACGGAGACUCGCGGCGUUCGGGACGACUUGGCGAAGACUCCGGUGGACCUCAACCAAGGCUGCAG